rnacentral:rRNA from 1 species
CAGCCGCCGCGGGAAUACGUAGGUGGCAAGCGUUGUCCGGAAUUAUUGGGCGUAAAGGGCUCGCAGGCGGUUUCUUAGGUCUGAUGUGAAAGCCCCCGGCUCAACCGGGUAGGGUCAUUGGAAACUGGGAAACUUGAGUGCAGAAGAGGAGAGUGGAAUUCCACGUGUAGCGGUGAAAUGCGUAGAGAUGUGGAGGAACACCAGUGGCGAAGGCGACUCUCUGGUCUGUAACUGACGCUGAGGAGCGAAAGCGUGGGGAGCGAACAGGAUUAGAUACCCCCGUAGUCCCUGUCUCUUAUAC